GCAGUUCUUAAGUAUCCAGGUGGUGAGAUAAGGGUGUGUGAUUGCUACAGAGCAAAGGGCCAGUGCACCUAAAUGCCUGGCACUCUGUCUCCUAGCAACUGAUGGUUCACUGCCCCCCAGAAUGGACCCGGCCGAGGGGUCCGGUUCUCUGUAUCUACAAGCUCUGUUUUAGACCCUGUUCCUGUCAUCGAAUAAACCUCUGUGUUACUGGCUGGCUGAGAGUCACGUCUGACUGCAAAGUGGGGGGGCAGGACCCUCUGGCUUCCCCAGGACCCCACUGGGGCGACUCGCUGUGGGAAGCGCACGGAGGGGCAGAGGAUGCUGAAUGCUCCAAGGAGAGACCCAGGAGGUGAAGCCGUGUGAGCUUCUUGCCCUGGAGACAGUCUGCUCCGAGGGAGAGGAGGCUCCCCAAAGUCCUGACUGGCUUGGUGGGGAGCAGUUCCAGAGCAUCGCCCGGGGACUCC